UCAGGGAUCACUUCAUUGCCUCAUUAUAAAGUGGGGCCCACAGCAGUUUCUCAGUUUCCAUCAUGCACUUUCCAUCAUGACUAAAGUCACUGCUGAUAAAUGAAAUCAAAUGACUAGAAGAACCAACUCUGGCUAAAGAAAACCUAUAAUAGUGGGCUGCCAUUUUUCACAGUGUGCCUCAAGCCAAUGACUUGGAGGAAUGGUGUUAUCCAUGUUAUUCUGCCAGUAUGCUUGGAAACCUACACGUCCGCUCCAUGGAGCUGAUGGACUUUGGCUGGUGCUCCUGUAAUAACUCAUAUCAUAAAUCUGCCAUUGGGAGAUAAAGAUGAAGAAACUGAGACAGUCAAGUCACUGGUGAUUCACCAGUUUUACACAGGUAAUGUCAGAGAUGAAAUUUGCAGUUAGAUCUUCCGGACUCCAGAACUGAGACCCUAUCUGCUGUCUCUGCAUAUGUCUCUGUGAAAAAUCUCUGUGUGUAUUGCUGCCUCCCCACAAAGAUGUGUCCACAGGAGAACUCGGCUGCUUGGACUUGUUUGUAAAUUAGUCUCCUUCAGUGGAAGAUGGUUCUCUGGGACCUUUUCACAAGUGACUUUAUGUCACAGUCCCUUGUAAGAGCUUAAGAACUCGUCAGGAAGGGAGAUGACAGAUUUUCUGAAAUGGACAUGACAAAAGGGUAAAUUUCACCAUUUGUCACAUGUUGAAGGAGAGAACUCAGAAAAAAUAUGAAGUCACGUAUAUUGAGAAAUCAUGAUUCUGGGCAGUGUUUAAAGGUACCUUUCUAAAUGAGCAUCAAUCAUCACAACGGGACAAGUUCGUGUCAGUGUAAGUUGAAAUGAGCAUGGCCCAUGGAAGAAAGCCGCAGGACGGAGGCAGCGGAGGGCUGCAUGUGCGUGUGCAUGUUGUGUUUGUGGGCUUGGCAGUCGGGAUUAUCAAUAACUGCAAUGCACAGGAAUCUGCGACUUGGGGCAGCAGGAGCAGGGAACCUGCUGCCUCCUGCCCCUGUUUCCUGUCGGGCUCCCUCGCAGAAGUAAAGCCAUAGACAUGUUGACCCUGGCAGAAGCAUUCUGCUGGUGACAAGAUCGGGACUGGGGGACAAAGGGCUGCAGAGGCUGUCUGACCUCUGAAGCUCUCGGGGUCUUCUUUCGAGAGCUCCAUCUGUGGGGUGAGGUUGGUUUGGGUCUGUCCUCAUGAUGGCCCAUCUUGUGGUGUCACCCGGUGCUCACCACUACCCCGGCCCCUGUAAGUAUUUAAUAAAUUCCAAGGACUCA